rnacentral:rRNA from 2 species
AUGGCUCAGAUUGAACGCUGGCGGCAGGCCUAACACAUGCAAGUCGAGCGGAUGACGAGAGCUUGCUCUCUGAUUCAGCGGCGGACGGGUGAGUAAUGCCUAGGAAUCUGCCUGGUAGUGGGGGACAACGUCUCGAAAGGGACGCUAAUACCGCAUACGUCCUACGGGAGAAAGCAGGGGACCUUCGGGCCUUGCGCUAUCAGAUGAGCCUAGGUCGGAUUAGCUAGUUGGUGAGGUAAUGGCUCACCAAGGCGACGAUCCGUAACUGGUCUGAGAGGAUGAUCAGUCACACUGGAACUGAGACACGGUCCAGACUCCUACGGGAGGCAGCAGUGGGGAAUAUUGGACAAUGGGCGAAAGCCUGAUCCAGCCAUGCCGCGUGUGUGAAGAAGGUCUUCGGAUUGUAAAGCACUUUAAGUUGGGAGGAAGGGUUGUAGAUUAAUACUCUGCAAUUUUGACGUUACCGACAGAAUAAGCACCGGCUAACUCUGUGCCAGCAGCCGCGGUAAUACAGAGGGUGCAAGCGUUAAUCGGAAUUACUGGGCGUAAAGCGCGCGUAGGUGGUUUGUUAAGUUGGAUGUGAAAGCCCCGGGCUCAACCUGGGAACUGCAUUCAAAACUGACAAGCUAGAGUAUGGUAGAGGGUGGUGGAAUUUCCUGUGUAGCGGUGAAAUGCGUAGAUAUAGGAAGGAACACCAGUGGCGAAGGCGACCACCUGGACUGAUACUGACACUGA